CCCUUAGAUGUUCUGGGCUGCACGCGCGCUACACUGAAGCGUUCAACGAGUAUUCACCUUGCCCGGGAGGGUUGGGUAAUCUUUUGAAAACGCUUCGUGAUGGGGAUAGAUUAUUGCAAUUAUUAAUCUUCAACGAGGAAUUCCUAGUAAGCGCGAGUCAUCAGCUCGUGCUGAUUACGUCCCUGCCCUUUGUACACACCGCCCGUCGCUCCUACCGAUUGAGCGAUCCGGUGAAUAAUUCGGACUGCAGCACUGCUUGGUCUCCAGGCUUUGCAGCGGAAAGUUUAGUGAACCUUAUCACUUAGAGGAAGGAGAANUCGUAACA
rnacentral:rRNA from 1 species